rnacentral:rRNA from 1 species
CUACGGGACGCACCAGUGGGGAAUAUUGGACAAUGGGGGAAACCCUGAUCCAGCAAUGCCGCGUGUGUGAAGAAGGCCUGCGGGUUGUAAAGCACUUUCGGUUGGGAGGACUGCUUCUAGCACUAAUAUUGUUGGAAGUUGACGUUACCUUCAGAAGAGGCACCGGCUAACUCCGUGCCAGCAGCCGCAGUAAUACGGAGGGUGCAAGCGUUAAUCGGAAUUACUGGGCGUAAAGCGCGCGUAGGCGGCUAGAUCAGUCGGGUGUGAAAGCCCCGGGCUUAACCUGGGAACUGCAUCCGAUACUGGCUAGCUUGAGUACAGGAGAGGAGAGUGGAAUUCCACAUGUAGCGGUGAAAUGCGUAGAUAUGUGGAGGAACACCAAUGGCGAAGGCAGCUCUCUGGCCUGAUACUGACGCUGAGGUGCGAAAGCGUGGGGAGCAAACAGGAUUAGAUACCCCGGUAGUC